rnacentral:misc_RNA from 1 species
AAUUUUCAAAUAGGGACAGAUUUCAUUGCUAACAAUCAGAUCCCUGGUAUUGAUUUUGCCACAGUUCACUCUUAUCCUGAUCAAUGGCUGCCUAAUUCAGACAGACAGAGCCAGGAAUCUUUUUUGAACAGUUGGCUCAGCAAUCACAUCCAGGAUGCACAGAACAUUCUUCGGAAGCCGGUGNNNNNNNNNNNNCGGAAAAUCAUCAAGAACCUCAGAUUAUAACCAAAGAGACCAGCUGUUCAAUACAAUCUA